UUGCAGAUAGUUGGUAAUUUGGACGAUAGUUGGAAAGUGGUGAACGUCUAACUUCUUCUUCCGUGUUGUUACUACUGUAGGUUUCGCCGACCACACCGGUUCAAGGUUUCCUGUGAUUCUUUAGCGUUGUUCGUAGGUUCGUGCAUCAGUUCGUGCGUUGCUACACCGGUUCAAGGUUUCCUGCGAUUCUUUAGCGUUGUUCGUAGGUUCGUGCAUCGGUUCGUGCGUUGCAUCUGCUCUUUGAUACUAGAGGCUCAGGAUAUUACUGAUUUAGGCUCUCUGAAUCAAGCAGCAAAGAUCUUUAUUCCAGGUUAUAAUGAAACUUAAUAAAGGGAUGAACGGAGCAAAAGGCCUUCCAAUAUAAAGUUUUCAAGUUCCUUGAAGGUUUCAGACUUUUGAGUCUAUGACUUGUAUAUUCUAGACUCUAGAUCACUCGUGAGCUAACGACCAAUUAGA